rnacentral:snRNA from 1 species
GUGCUUGCUUUGGCAGUACAUAUACUAGAAUUGGAGCAAUACAGAGAAGAUUAGCAUGGCCCCUGUGCAAG